UCUAGUCUGUAACUGACGCUGAGGCUCGAAAGCAUGGUAGCGAACAGGAUUAGAUACCCUGGUAGUCCAUGCCGUAAACGAUGAGUGCUAAGUGUUGGAGGGUUUCCCCUUUCAGUGCUGCAGCUAACGCAUUAAGCACUCCGCGUGGGGAGUACGACCGCAAGGUUGAAACUCAAAGGAAUUGACGGGGGCCCGCACAAGCGGUGGAGCAUGUGGUUUAAUUCGAAGCUACGCGAAGAACCUUACCAGGUCUUGACAUCUUCUGCCAAUCUUAGAGAUAAGACGUUCCCUUCGGGGACAGAAUGACAGGUGGUGCAUGGUUGUCGUCAGCUCGUGUCGUGAGAUGUUGGGUUAAGUCCCGCAACGAGCGCAACCCUUAUUAUCAGUUGCCAGCAUUCAGUUGGGCACUCUGGUGAGACUGCCGGUGACAAACCGGAGGAAGGUGGGGAUGACGUCAAAUCAUCAUGCCCCUUAUGACCUGGGCUACACACGUGCUACAAUGGACGGUACAACGAGUCGCGAAGUCGUGAGGCUAAGCUAAUCUCUUAAAGCCGUUCUCAGUUCGGAUUGUAGGCUGCAACUCGCCUACAUGAAGUUGGAAUCGCUAGUAAUCGCGGAUCAGCAUGCCGCGGUGAAUACGUUCCCGGGCCUUGUACACACCGCCCGUCACACCAUGAGAGUUUGUAACACCCAAAGCCGGUGAGAUAACCUUCGGGAGUCAGCCGUCUAAGGUGGGACAGAUGAUUAGGGUGAAGUCGUAACAAGGUAACCA
rnacentral:rRNA from 1 species